AUCUGCCCUCUGUAACAACGUAAGUCCUAGAAUGAAAAGAUGUCAAAAAGUUGGUGUCUGAUGUUUAUAUAUCCUCUUCUAGAGAGGAGGCAAAAGUUC